AACUUUUGAUUUUGCAUAUGUCUCUUAAUAAAAGUAUAAUAAAACUUGAGGCUUACAUCUUCAGAGAGCAACAUAAUCUAGAGUGUACAAGGGCUGAGUUCUGCCUUCAGAUGAAAAAUCAUAUUUCCCAUUGAAAUAAAUAAAACCCAAGCAUGUAUAUAGAGAGAAUAAAAUUUGGAUGUCGGACCGUUUCUUGCAAAAUCCUGUGAGGAAGGCAAGGGACAAAAGAUGUGAGCCUGACUAUCAACUUCCACUAUAUAUUUAUCUCUCAUGUGUUGUUUCUACUGGACAUCAGGACACUGAACUAACAGAGGAAAACCCUUAUCUCUCAAGGCUUGUGGCAACAUUGGGAUACACCAUGAAAUUGUUAAGAGAAUCAGAGAGUCUCUUCUUUGUUGGGAGAAGAUUAAUUCAAACUAGAAACUUAUCUUUUACUGAUUCAGGUGGAACACACUGUUGGAGAGAAUCGUGGUCCAAGGGAGCCUUCAUGCACCCUUCAGUGUGUCAGCAGUCUUGGCCACUACACAUCUUUUGAUGUAAGGAUCCUUAAAAGCUCCGAAGGAAAACUGGGGAUGUCCGAGUCAUAGGGGAAACAUGCCUCUAAGAACAUCCUCUAAAGCUUCCUACACUCAAUCACACAAGAGUAAGAGAAAGGUAAAGAUUCAUCUCAGUCUGGGCUGCAGCAUCUGGGCUUUUCUUUCCUGCAUCCCUUGUCUGGAAGAAGUGCUGCAAAUCAUUUGGUCCUUGAAAAACACAGCAUCUUGCAUAAAGAGCAACCCUUGCAGACAUUUCAGGCUCAUGUUGUUGUUUAGGACAUUCAGCACUAAGUUAAUGAGUGAUAGCUGUCCUGCUUGGUAGUCCAGAACUGUAGAGGACAUAUCCAGAAGGACUACAGACUACCGUAAAUUUUACCUGCAUCAGUUCUUUGAACUUGCCUUUUUAAAUAUAAACUGAUGUCAUGGUUUAACCCCAGCUGGCAACUACAUAUCAUGGCGCUGCUUGCUCACCUCUCCUCUGCGCUGCCCCCCCCGCCCCCCCCCCCCCCCCCCCCAGCAGGAUGGGGAGGAGAAUUGGGAAAAAGGUAAAACUCAUGAGUUGAGAUAAGAACAAUUUUAUAACUGAAAUAAAAUAAAACAUAAAAGAAAUAAUAACAACAAUUGUAAUGUAAAGGAGAGAGAGAGAGGAAUAAAACCCAAAGGGAAAAUCCCCCAAAACACCCAACAAAAUGAUGCACAACACAAUUGCUGGCCAGUCGCUGACUGAUGCCCAGCCAGUCCCCAAGCAGCCAUCGGCACAGGCUGUGGCCAACUCCCCCAGUUUAUAUACUCAGCAUGAUGUUCUAUGGUAUGGAAUAUCCCUUUGGCUAGUUUGGGUCACCUGUCCUGGCUCUGCUCCCUCCCGGCUUCGUGUGCCCCUCCUCACUGGCAGAGCAUGGGAAACUUGAAAAGUCCUUGGUUUAGAGUAAGCACUACUUAGCAACAACUAAAACAUCUCUGUGUUAUCAUUAUUCUCAUCCUAAAUCCAAAACACAGCACUGUACCAGAUACUAGGAAGAAAAUUACCUCUAACCCAGCCAAAACCAGGACAACUGUUACAACAUGAAUGGGUAUGUAAUACUUAAACAUAUUCUGAAACAGACCCCAGACUCUCCACAGUGCUCUCAGGAGAGAAUGAUAAAUCAGUUUGCUUAAUGCGUCAAUGGACAGAGCUUGGAAAUGGUGACAAAGACAAGGUAAGAAUGUGUAUGGGGCAUAGUAAACCUGCUCUUUGAGCGACUUGAACUAGUGACUUUUCCCUUGAAUUUUUAAUUGCUUAAAGGGGGGAUAAAAACAACCCACACCCCCAAAAGGCAAAACCACAAAACAAAACCCGAAACCAAAAUGCUGCAGAGGAAAUGAAACUACAAGAACAUUUUUCACACUAGUUAAUUUUGAGGGUCUGACAUAUAUACAGCAAGCCUAGGAAGUUCACGGUGCAUUAUAUCUUUCUCCAGAACACAGAUGCAUUGGGCUUUCCUGUGAAGUACACUACACGUGCUUCAAUGUAGUUUUAAGCAUUUCUUUAUUUUCACAUUGAUUUUUUACCACCUAUAAUCCACUCAUUCUUUUAAAUGCCAUGCAGCUGACUAGAUUCAGAGGUUUCACACUGGAGCAACCUCUCAUCUCAGAGUAUGUAUGACAUGGGGAAAGUUGAGUGGACGAAACUUAUUUUCCCAAGAACAAGGGAGAGUUGGAGGGAACAAGCUCGUAGUUUGCAAAUCAGAAAGUAUUCACUUAUCUGAACUGCAAAACAUAGAAGAAGGGAGGAGUUGGCUAGAAAUGGGAAGCAAGGAUCUAGAAAUAUAUUUUUGACACAGUUACACCCCCCUAAAAAAUUAGCAACAUAAUAAAAACAAUGGCUUACUAACCAGAAACAUUGGGUCUUCUGCCUAAAUUUUAGUUUCUUUUUAGGGUACUCGGCCACAGGUUUAGGAGUCUGGCUACAGGCAUGAAUAUUUUGUCCUUUUUUUUUUUCCUCUUGAGAAAAGUUGUCAGUUUGAAAGAAGAUGCUGUGUUGAGACCAGUGUCCUUUUAUGGAGAACAUGUUUGCAAUAAAAGGAUAAAAAUCUCGGAGAAACAGCAGGAAACAUCUUUAUAAUUUCAUUAGCUCAAUUUAAGGUUAAUAUUAAGCUUCUGAAAUGUGUUUGUUCAUUUGUUUGCUGGCGGUUUGAUUCUACUUUCUUCCUGUCAGUUUGGUUAGAAGACUGUUGCAUUUUUCUUUAUGGGUUUCCCUCCCUGUUUUCUGAGGGAAAAAAAAAAAAAAAAGAAGUAUUUUUCAAUAAAACUUUCACUUUCUUUACAGGGGAUUGAAUGUCAAAGGUGUUAGAAACCUGAGAAUGGGUGAAAAGAAAGAGGAGCAAUGUGCAUGAUCUUAGUUAACAAUAUUACUUAAGUGCCUUUCACUGUUUUCCUGUACUUUAGGAGGUCUACCUCACUCACACCAUUAUCGAUAAUGUUUAAUUGACUCUUCUUACAACUUACUUCUCCAAGAGACAGUGAAAUGCCCAAAAUUUUACUAAAUAGAGAAAAAUUCCCAGAAUCUCCCAAUUAGAGAAGGUUUCAGAGGGAGGUAUAAAUAGAGCAUAAUUGAGACUUAAGUGGUACAUACCUCACUGUGACCUUUUGCAAAAAGGACAUAUUCACCGUUAGCUAACUGAGCAAAUAUAUGUCUGGUAUUGGCCCUGUACUAAAUAAGAGAUAUUCCUUCCCUUUAAAUGUGAACUACUAUGCUCCAGCAUGUCAGUUCAGGUUUCUUGGAGGGGAAGAAUCUGGUGUCUGUAAGCUGCUUUCUACGUGCUUAAGUGGAUUUGAGAAGCAGGCAACCACAUACUUUGGAAAAAUAAAAAGUGCUUGAAGAAAAAAAUUGAUAUUCAGAUUUCCCAUUCAGAAUUUAAAUAGCAAUUUUCUUUGUUUGUGUGCUCAAUAUGUAGUAAAAAUAGGACCUAUUUUAGCCAAUUGCUACUCUGACUUUACAUCCAGUUUCUUUACUGAAGCUUAGAUUUAGCCCAGUAUCUGCCCUGUGAAAGAAAUACAUACAUGAGAUGAAGUGGUGGAAUUUGAUGUAAUAUAGAAAUGGUCUAACCAGGUAUAACUAGAAGUAACAGGAUGAAAGUGAACAAAGAAAAAUCCAUGCUGAUAACAAGGAAAAAUUUCCUAGCAGUGAGGUCUGUUAGCCUGCUGAACGGUCUCCCAAGGGAAUAAGUUGAACCCUCAUCGCUUUAGUUAUUUGUAAAACGAACAAAACAGUCAAGAUCCUUGUAGGGAGACACUCUUAAUUAACAAGAAGACAGAAAAAAUGACCUAAUGUCUCUUUUUUUCCAUCUCCACUGUUCAUGACUAUUAUUGUAGGCAAAACCAGGUUUGGCAAUAAAAUUAUGGAUUUCCAAUUUUCACAGCAAUUUUGCAGCGCUCUUAUUCCAUAAUAAUACCAGUACUUUCCCACUCUUCACUUCCCUCUAUAAACUUUUGCGCCUUAUUUGCCUUCAAAGAGG